UACGAAGGGGACUAGCGUUGUUCGGAUUUACUGGGCGUAAAGCGCGCGUAGGCGGAUCGCUAAGUCAGGGGUGAAAUCCCAGGGCUCAACCCUGGAACUGCCUUUGAUACUGACGAUCUGGAGAUCGGGAGAGGUUGGUGGAAUUCCGAGUGUAGAGGUGAAAUUCGUGAGAUAUUCGGCGGAACACCAGUGGCGAAGGCGACUCACUGGCCCGAUACUGACGCUGAGGAGCGAAAGCGUGGGGAGGC
rnacentral:rRNA from 1 species